UACAGAGGGGGCAAGCGUUGUUCGGAAUUACUGGGCGUAAAGGGCGCGUAGGCGGCCUGUUAAGUCGAACGUGAAAUCCCCGGGCUCAACCCGGGAACUGCGUCCGAUACUGGCAGGCUUGAAUCCGGGAGAGGGAUGCGGAAUUCCAGGUGUAGCGGUGAAAUGCGUAGAUAUCUGGAGGAACACCGGUGGCGAAGGCGCUCAUCUGGCCCAAUACUGACGCUGAGGCGCGAAAGCGUGGGGAGCAAACAGG
rnacentral:rRNA from 1 species